rnacentral:rRNA from 1 species
ACUCCUACGGGAGGCAGCAGUGGGGAAUAUUGCACAAUGGGGGAAACCCUGAUGCAGCCAUGCCGCGUGUGUGAAGAAGGCCUUCGGGUUGUAAAGCACUUUCAGUAGGGAGGAAGGUAGUGUAGUUAACACCUGCAUUAUUUGACGUUACCUACAGAAGAAGCACCGGCUAACUCCGUGCCAGCAGCCUCGGUAAGUAACGGAGGGAGUGCGAGCGUUAAUCGGAAUUACU